rnacentral:rRNA from 1 species
GAGCCCAAGAUUGAAAGCUGGCGUCUUCGGCGUCCGCAUUGUAAUCUCAAGAAGUGUUUUCCGCUUCGGACCAUGCCUAAGUCCCUUGGAAAAGGGCAUCAUAGAGGGUGAUAAUCCCGUACAUGGCAUGGAGCGCCCGAAGCUUUGUGAUACGCUUUCUAAGAGUCGAGUUGUUUGGGAAUGCAGCUCAAAAUGGGUGGUAAAUGCCAUCUAAGGCUAAAUAUUGGGGAGAGACCGAUAGCGAACAAGUACAGUGAUGGAAAGAUGAAAAGAACUUUGAAAAGAGAGUUAAACAGUACGUGAAAUUGCCAAAAGGGAAGGGUAGGAGGUCAGAGAUGCGGCCUGGGAUUCAGCCUUGCUUUUGCUUGGUGUUUUUCCCAGAUUGCAGGCCAACGUCGGUUUUGGGCACUGGAGAAGGGUAGGAGGAACGUGGCACCUCUCGGGGUGUGUUAUAGCCUCCUACUGGAUACAGCGACCGAGACCGAGGACAGCAGCGUACUCGCAAGAGCGGGCCUUCGGGCACCUUUACGCUUAGGGCGUUGGCAUAAUGGCCCUCUACCACCCGUCUUGAACACGGA